rnacentral:ncRNA from 1 species
AUUAAAGCAUUGAUCAAGAGAGUAACCAACCGUUGCGUUUCAGAAAGAGAAUUGAUAAUGGAAAAUUCUUACGCAUUGUUGGGUGAAAGUAACUUGUGAGCUACUCGUUCGAAAAUUUGAGAGCGGGUCGGUACUAUCUGACCGUUAUCAGGAUACUGAGUGGGGUUGAAAUAUACCCAAUUUAGGUGGUACCGCGAAGCACUUCGUCCUAAUC